ACGCGUGGAACCUUACCAGGUCUUGACAUCCUCUGACACUCCUAGAGAUAGGACGUUCCCCUUCGGGGGACAGAGUGACAGGUGGUGCAUGGUUGUCGUCAGCUCGUGUCGUGAGAUGUUGGGUUAAGUCCCGCAACGAGCGCAACCCUUGAUCUUAGUUGCCAGCAUUAAGUUGGGCACUCUAAGGUGACUGCCGGUGACAAACCGGAGGAAGGUGGGGAUGACGUCAAAUCAUCAUGCCCCUUAUGACCUGGGCUACACACGUGCUACAAUGGAUGGUACAAAGGGCAGCAAAGCGGUGACGCCUAGCGAAUCCCAUAAAACCAUUCUCAGUUCGGAUUGUAGGCUGCAACUCGCCUACAUGAAGCUGGAAUCGCUAGUAAUCGCGGAUCAGCAUGCCGCGGUGAAUACGUUCCCGGGCCUUGCACACACCGCCCGU
rnacentral:rRNA from 1 species